AGGGGGGUUUNCAUCACUGGCUCAGGAUGAACGCUGGCGGCGUGCCUAAGGCAUGCAAGUCGAACGGUCCCNAUAGCAAUAUCGGGAUAGUGGCAGACGGGUGAGUAACGCGUGGGAACGUACCUAGAAGUGGGGGACAACUCAUCGAAAGAUGAGCUAAUACCGCAUGUGAUAGCAAUAUUAAAGCAGCAAUGCGCUUCUAGAUCGGCCUGCGUCCCAUCAGCUAGUUGGUAGGGUAAAAGCCUACCAAGGCUACGACGGGUAGCUGGUGUGAGAGCAUGACCAGCCACAACUGCACUGAGACACGGGCAGUACACCUACGGGUGGCAGCAACCGGGAAUAUUGGACAAUGGACGAAAGUCUGAUCCAGCGACGCCGCGUGAGGGAUGAAGGCCUUAUUGGUCGUAAACCUCUUUUGUAUGGGAAGAAAAAAAUGACGGUAC
rnacentral:rRNA from 1 species